rnacentral:misc_RNA from 1 species
GUAUAAAGUUUAUAGGCACAAGUGCCCAAUGUUACAUUCUGUUACAUACAAUGGGGUAUAUGAAAAACGUAGACCUGGAAAUGCAAAGAAAGCCAGCUGGCGCCGGCAAUCCUCCCGACCGAGUUGCCUCGGAAAGUCAAUCCAAGUCUACAAGAGGUGCACAGGUGGAGAGAUGAGGAUGGUGGGCGUGCACAUGCCCUCGAAAGAGCCAGCAACAACCACACCAAGUUCAUUCAAUAAUGAUCCUUCCGCAGGUUCACCUACGGAAA